rnacentral:rRNA from 1 species
CAGUCGCCGCGGUAAUACGGAGGGCGCGAGCGUUACCCGGAUUUACUGGGCGUAAAGGGCGUGUAGGCGGCCUGGGGCGUCCCAUGUGAAAGGCCACGGCUCAACCGUGGAGGAGCGUGGGAUACGCUCAGGCUAGAGGGUGGGAGAGGGUGGUGGAAUUCCCGGAGUAGCGGUGAAAUGCGCAGAUACCGGGAGGAACGCCGAUGGCGAAGGCAGCCACCUGGUCCACUUCUGACGCUGAGGCGCGAAAGCGUGGGGAGCAAACCGGAUUAGAUACCCCCGUAGUCCCUGUCUCUUAUAA